rnacentral:rRNA from 1 species
UACGAAGGGGGGCUAGCGUUGCUCGGAAUCACUGGGCGUAAAGCGCACGUAGGCGGAUUGUUAAGUCAGGGGGUGAAAUCCUGGAGCUCAACUCCAGAACUGCCUUUUGAUACUGGCGAUCUCGAGUCCGGGAGAGGUGAGUGGAACUCCGAGUGUAGAGGUGAAAUUCGUAGAUAUUCGGAAGAACACCAGUGGCGAAGGCGGCUCACUGGCCCGGUACUGACGCUGAGGUGCGAAAGCGUGGGGAGCAAACAGG